rnacentral:rRNA from 1 species
GAUUAAGUUAUUAAGGGCGCACGGUGGAUGCCUUGGCACUAGAAGCCGAUGAAGGACGUUACUAACGACGAUAUGCUUUGGGGAGCUGUAAGUAAGCGUUG